ensembl:lncRNA
AAGGCAUCUGAUUUUUGUUUAAACCAGGUUUUGGAGUUCAGUGAUGAUGAGAAAGAAAAGGAGGCAAAACAGAAGAAAAAGAAGCCUCACAGUCAAGGAAGAAAGAAAAUAAGAUCAGAAACACUUCCAUCAAGUGAGAAUAAAGAAUUUCAUCAGUCAGUGCAGCAGCCUGCUUCAAGUUACGCAAGAGGAUACCAUGGCAGAGGGUUCUUCAGGGAUCUGUUUCCUCCUCCAUCAGGCCCUCGAGGGUUUUUCAGGCCCCAAGUAAGACCACCACAGCUGUACUCUUCAGACAGGAGGAUAUACCAGGAAUCACCCGUGUUUCCACCACCUUAUAGAAAAGAAUAUCCAGUGAUGCAACAGUAUGCCUUUCCUCCUCCAGAUUUUGGUUAUGUCAGUGAUGGGUAUCAAUUCCACCCUCCACCUUCAAACAUGAAUAUGAUGUGGACAGGCCCAAACAUGUACAAUUCAUCCUACUCAUUUCUGUCACUGCCACCGCCACCGCCACCACCGCCGCCACCUCCUCCAGACUGCCACCCUCCUCAGUUCAGGCCUUACUAAGAUUCCAUGUGUGUCCAUGUAGAGCCCUGCAGUUCACAGGGAGAAAGAACAGCCUGCCAGGACUGCAUUCCCUUAUUCUGGAGAUGGUUUCUUUUACUGCAGCAGUAGAACAAAUGCAGAGUUUUGUGCUUUGUGGGACAUCUGUAGAAAAUUAUUUUUUUCUGUAUAUGUUACCUGUUUCCAAAAAGAAAUUUAUAUGAUAAAAGUAACUGAAUAUUAAGUAAUGGUUUAUUUUUAUAGUAUCUGCUACUUAAAGAUGAUAAAUAAAAGCCUUUUGGACACUGGUAUGUAGUGGUGG